rnacentral:rRNA from 1 species
UACGGAGGGUGCAAGCGUUAUCCGGAUUCACUGGGUUUAAAGGGUGUGUAGGCGGGCAUGUAAGUCAGUGGUGAAAUCUCCGGGCUCAACCCGGAAACUGCCAUUGAUACUAUAUGUCUUGAAUUUUGUUGAGGUUGGCGGAAUAAGUCAUGUAGCGGUGAAAUGCAUAGAUAUGACUUAGAACACCGAUUGCGAAGGCAGCUAACUAAACAAAUAUUGACGCUGAGGCACGAAAGCGUGGGGAUCAAACAGG